rfam:Plasmodiophora brassicae isolate e3 genome assembly, contig: scaffold_32
AAGAUCAUACUUGUACAGGAUCACUUCUAUAGUGAAUUCCCCUGUCUUGUCAUUCCCAAAAAUGACAGAUCAACCGACCUGGACGAUGAUACACAGGCGCGCUCGCUGAGCGUGAGGCAGGGACCCGGGUGCGCUCAUUCGUAUCGCACCCGGGCUCCCACGAUGACCGUACUGCUUGCUCUCAUUCCGGCUCGCAGUUGCGGGCGCGCCAUUCUGACAGGC